rnacentral:lncRNA from 1 species
GUUUAAGCACAAAUCAUGGCACUUUUCCACAACUACAACUGUAAAAAGAGAACUUCUUCUUCUGCUGGAGUCAAAUUUUACCACCAGAGCCCAGCAUACCACCACCUGGCCUAGACACCCAGGACACCAGAAG